CCUACGGGCGGCUGCAGUGAGGAAUAUUGGUCAAUGGACGAGAGUCUGAACCAGCCAAGUCGCGUGAAGGAUGACUGCCCUAUGGGUUGUAAACUUCUUUUAUAAAGGAAUAAAACGAGGCACGUGUGCCUUUUUGCAUGUACUUUAUGAAUAAGGAUCGGCUAACUCCGUGCCAGCAGCCGCGGUAAUACGGAGGAUCCGAGCGUUAUCCGGAUUUAUUGGGUUUAAAGGGAGCGUAGAUGGGUUGUUAAGUCAGUUGUGAAAGUUUGCGGCUCAACCGUAAAAUUGCAAUUGAUACUGGCAGUCUUGAGUACAUUUGAGGUAGGCGGAAUUCGUGGUGUAGCGGUGAAAUGCUUAGAUAUCACGCAGAACCCCGAUUGCGAAGGCAGCUUACUAAGCUGUGACUGACAUUGAUGCUCGAAAGUGUGGGUAUCGAACAGGAUUAGAUACCCUUGUAGUC
rnacentral:rRNA from 1 species